GGAGGCGUCGCAUAGUGGUCUAGUGCGCUCGCUUGGAAAGCGAGUAUACCGAAAGGUAUCAGAGGUUCAAAUCCUCUCGCCUCCGCCA
rnacentral:tRNA from 1 species